UUCCAGUUAUGUCCUCACAACUAAUAGCCAAUAGAAUGUGGUUUUAUUUCAUCCAAUCAAAAGGCGUUGUGAACGUGUCUCUUGCUUAUCACUUCCCAACUAGGGGAGGGAUGCAAUGCAAAAAUAUUAAUUGUAAGAAGAUCGUUAGAUUUCCGCGCUCAAAGGUUAAUAAUUUCACGGGAUAUCCUUGUUUCAUGAGCUAUCCGUGGUGUAGUUUGGGACACUUCGGAUUGGUGAAAGAUUAAGAUUCUGGUUGCGUUUUUAAGUGCGAAUUAUUGGCGAAAUUUUCUUCGAUACGUUGGAAAGCUUAGGAAGACGAGAAUUUGACAUUGCCUGGCUUCGAUUCCCUUAUUAGUUUGGAGUGCGUUGGUGAUCGAAGUUGUGCUUUUCUAUCGGAACUAGUACGGUAAGCCAAUUGAGUCUGUAAAUGGAAAGUAAACACAAAGUAAUGAUGGUAAGGAACAAAUUGCUUGCACUAUAAAUUAUUGAAAGUAGUCUGCACUCUCCAUAUUUGUUAUUUUUAAUUGACAUGCUUUGCACAGGUGUUGUGUAAUAAGUGUGAAUAAUGAAUAAGACUGUGCAGCGAAUUAGCUCGUGCUGCAGCAUCCCAUAUCCAAUAAAUUCAAUAGAAGACCCUUCGGUCA